UCUAACGUGGCAGAUAAGUGCGGUGGAUUUAAGCUCCAUAAAUAAAGUAUCAAACUUUCAUUAGAA
rnacentral:tRNA from 1 species